UACGAAGGGGGGCUAGCGUUGCUCGGAAUCACUGGGCGUAAAGGGUGCGUAGGCGGGUCUUUUAAGUCAGGGGUGAAAUCCUGGAGCUCAACUCCAGAACUGCCUUUGAUACUGAAGAUCUUUGAGUCCGGGAGAGGUGAGUGGAACUGCGAGUGUAGAGGUGAAAUUCGUAGAUAUUCGCAAGAACACCAGUGGCGAAGGCGGCUCACUGGCCCGAUACUGACGCUGAGGCACGAAAGCGUGGGGAGCGAACAGG
rnacentral:rRNA from 1 species